rnacentral:rRNA from 1 species
AACGAACGCUGGCGGCAUGCCUAACACAUGCAAGUCGAACGAGACCUUCGGGUCUAGUGGCGCACGGGUGCGUAACGCGUGGGAACCUGCCCUUAGGUUCGGAAUAACUCCCCGAAAGGGGUGCUAAUACCGGGUAAUGUCUUCGGACCAAAGAUUUAUCGCCUUUGGAUGGGCCCGCGUUGGAUUAGCUAGUUGGUAGGGUAAAAGCCCACCAAGGCGACGAUCCAUAGCUGGUCUGAGAGGAUGAUCAGCCACACUGGGACUGAGACACGGCCCAGACUCCUACGGGAGGCAGCAGUGGGGAAUAUUGGACAAUGGGCGAAAGCCUGAUCCAGCAAUGCCGCGUGAGUGAUGAAGGCCUUAGGGUUGUAAAGCUCUUUUACCCGGGAUGAUAAUGACAGUACCGGGAGAAUAAGCUCCGGCUAACUCCGUG